rnacentral:rRNA from 1 species
UACGUAGGGGGCAAGCGUUGUCCGGAAUCAUUGGGCGUAAAGCGCGUGUAGGCGGUUCGAUAAGUCUGCUGUGAAAGUCCAGGGCUCAACCCUGGGAUGCCGGUGGAUACUGUCGGACUAGAGUACGGAAGAGGCGAGUGGAAUUCCCGGUGUAGAGGUGAAAUUCGUAGAUAUUGGGAAGAACACCAGUGGCGAAGGCGGCUCACUGGCCCGUAACUGACGCUGAGGUGCGAAAGCGUGGGGAGCAAACAGG